rnacentral:lncRNA from 1 species
ACAAUCCUGAGUUCUGAUGCCGUGCCUGAGGUGUGUGGAAUCACCAGAAAGUGUAUUCACGUAGAUAGAGGAAUUACAAGUCAACCUGUGUAAACAUGUUAGGUGGAGCUCUUUCAUAUGAAUGAUGCUGAAUUUUACCUUCUAAAUUGAGUGUUCAGUUGAGCAUCUUUUUUUUUUUUUUAGUAUUUAUUUUGAGUUGUGCACUUGAGUUUCUCUUUCAUGUUUGCGUGUGCAUUUUCUAGAAUGGCUUCAGUCAUCCAUCUUCUCUGGAGGCUGCAGACCAGCCAGAUCCACUACAGCUACAACGAGGAGAAAGAUGAGGACCACUGCGGCUCCCAGUGGGCACAUCUGCCAGCAAAUCGCGACUGCUCCCACAGACGGGCCCUGGGGGACCAUUCUCAGGCAUUUCUGCAAGCCAUUGCAGACAGUAACAUUCAGGAUCACAACGUGAAGGACUUUUUGUGUCAAAUAGAAAGGUACUGUAGGCAGUGCCAUUUGACCACACCGAUCAUGUUUCCCCCCGAGCACCCCGUGGAAGAGGUCGGUCGCUUGCUGUUAUGUUGCUUCUUAAAACAUGAAGAUUUAGGUAAGGAGCUCAAUAUCUGUGUACUUUAGCUAGACUGCAGAUUCCUCGACUAACCUGUGGUACAUAUUCAUCCCUUCCCUGUCCUUCUUUUAAAUGUCUUUUUGCAGGUCAUGUGGCAUUAUCUUUAGUUCAUGCAGGUGCACUUGAUACUGAGCAAAUAAAGCACAGAACGUUGCCUAAGUCAGUGGUGGAUGUUUGUAGAGUUGUCUACCAAGCAAAAUGUUUGCUCAUUAAGGUGAUAUAUUUUAAUUCUUUUUAUUCUGUGCUUUGCAGACAGUUGCAGAAAUAUUUGUUGUUAAAGUUGUCUUUUCCUGGUUAACUUUGCAGACUCAACAAGAACAGGGCCGUUCUUACAAGGAGGUCUGCACUCCUGUCAUCCAACGUUUGAGAUUCCUCUUUAAUGAAUUGAGACCUGCUGUUUGUAAUGACCUCUCUAUAAUCUCUAAGUUUAAAUUGUUAAGUUCUUUGCCCCGUUGGAGGAGGAUAGCUCAGAAGAUAAUUCGGGAACGGAGGAAAAAGAGAAGUAAGAAUGUAAAAGGACAGAAGAUACUAUUAAAGCAUGUGCUUCACCCUGCCUCGCUGGACCUGUGAUUUCAGAGUGAAGUUUCUCUACUGUUGAUUCCAUGUGACAUUUCUACCUGCUGCCAUCAUUUUUAUGUAUAGUUAUGAUUAAAUACGGAAAUCUUGCUUAUUUUUUCAACCGAUCAGACAAUGAGGCAGUUUAGGAAUUGAGUGUGGUAUGAUUUGAUUACUAGUAAAUUGAUGUUGAAAACGUAAAUAAUCUUUGCUAAAUUGAUGGGAACAAGGACGUAUUUUUAUUUUAUUAGUUAUCCUGGUAAUGAGAUAUAAUGGGAACAUUUAAACUUAUUGCCAUUCUUCUAAAGAAAUGUUUUUUGUUUGGAAAUAUUGAGUAUUCUGAUACAUGGAGAAUUAUAAAGGGAAGCUGAAAGAGUUACUGACAUUUUCCUGGAAGUAGCUGUGUAAGAGUACAGAAAAGUCUUUUUGCAUUAAAUCCAAAUUUGAAUAAAAAUGCUUAGAAAUUAUAAAAUAGUUUAGAAUUUAGUCACUUGUGAUUAUAAAUAAACUACAGAAAUUUCUGAUUAUAUCCUUUUUUUUUUCUUUGAGACGGGGUCUUGCUCUGUCGCCAGGCUGGAGUGCAGUGGUACAAUCUCAGCUCACUGCAACCUCCGCCUCCCAGGUUCAAAUGAUUCCCCUGCCUCAGCCUUCCAAGUAGCUGGGAUUACAGGCAUGCGCCACCACGCCUGACUAAUUUUUGUAUUUUAGUAGAGACGGAGUUUCACCAUGUUGGCCAGGAUGAUCUCGAUCUCCUGGCCUUGUUAUCUGCCUGCCUCGGCCUCCCAAAGUGCUGGGAUUACAGGCAUGAGCCACCCCGCCUGGCCUCUGAUCAUGUUCUUAUGACUUAUACUGAUUUACUCACAAACCUGCUUAUUGAACAGUAUUCAUUACUCAGUUUCUGAUGGGCAUUUUGAACAAUAAGCUUAUGAAAGACUAAAGCGUUUUAGAAGCCAUCCUAAUUUGAUUGUUCCUGAACAAACCCUACACCAUAACAGCCUGUCGGAAUCCGAUGGGUGCUCUGGAUCAGGAAGUCACAGCAGUCACACUGCUGCAAUUCCUUUAACCCAGGCAUGCAGGAACUCAGCCCGGGCCCAGGAGACAAGCCUGCCUCAGCAUGAGGGAGAGAGACUCCACCAUUUGCCAUUUCAUAUCCGUGGGUUCUGAGCCCACACUGUCACUUUUAGAGUUUCUUGUGGGUUUAUAGAUUUAUUGUGUGUUGUUUCAAGCUGGUUUUCUUUUUUUUUUUUGGAAAUUAAGUAACUUAAAAACAUUAAGUGAUUAAUAUUCCUGUUGCUGUGUCAGGGAUCGCCAAGCCUUCUCUCAGGCUUGAUGACUCACCAAAAGGACUCAGAAGAGCUGUUAUACUCACAGCUGUGUUUUUUUUUUUUUUAUUUUUACCGCAAAAAGGAUACAGAUUAAAAUUAGCAAAGGGAAGGGUGCAUGGAGGGAAGUCCAGAGGAAACUAGGCACAAGCUUUGGUGUCUCUCCCUAGUGGCGUCACGUGGAUGUGCUUAGCUCUCCCAGCAACAGUGGGUCACAUCAUGUGUGAAGGAUUGUUAACCAGGCCAGCGCACCUGAACCUCGAGUCUAGAGAUUUUGUUGGGGGCCAGUCACAUACGCAGGCAGUGCCCAUGUGACUGACCUCAAUUACUUACACUCCAGUGCCCCAGUGCAAAAACAAGUGGUCCCUCGCAAGUCACAUCAUUAGCAUAAACUGCCUGGCCAGACCACUGCCACAAGGUCCUGGGUGUCAGGUAUACCAAAAAACUUAUCAGGCAGGAUGUUCCAAGGCCUCAGAACUCAGCUCCUAGAAGAAGGACCAAUCCUGAAGGGACAGACCUUCCUUGGGAAUUUGCAGUGUUUGAGCAACCCCGGCCUGCUAUGUUAGCUCUUUACUGCCCAGGUGUAUUAUCAUGUUGCUUAUUUUUUAUAUUAUAUGCUGAGAAGAUUUAGACCAAAAAUUUUAAAAGAGAUAAAAUAUAGGGAGGAAAUUCCACAUAUCACAAUGAAUUCAAUUAAUUCAGUUACACACUAACAGAACCACUGAACUGGACCAUGGUGGACAAGCCAGGAACUGUGGGCCAAAUUCCACCUCUUGCUUGCUUUGUGCUGCCCGUGGACUAAGACCUUUUUUUUUUUUUCUGCAGUUUGAAAUUGUUUUUUAAAAAUUAAAAGAAGUAUAUUAUUUUUGACACAUGAAAAUUACAUGAAGCUAAAAUUGUAGCACCAUAAAGUUUUACGGGAGCACAGCCACACCUGUUGCUUUAUCUGUGGUUACUUUUUGUGCUACAGCAGCAGAGUUGAGUAUUUCCAACAGACUGGGUGGCCUGAAAGACUCAAAUGUUCACUCUCUGGCACUUGAGGAAGAGCUUGCUGGCUGCUGGGCUUCCCCUACUUCGGGGCUUCUCCCCUUGUCGCACUCUCACUUUGUCUUUUUGUUCUGCCAUGGUGAUCAUUUCACUCUUGUUGUUUGAGCAUUGCAAUUUAUAAUGUUCAGAUGUUUAUUUGAAUGAAAUAUUUGUCUUUCAUGUAAAUCUAAGUAUUUCUUAAUUUAAAAUUAAUAUUUAAGUGUAUGAUUUUUUAUAGUGAAUGAUGUUUUAAAACACAAUUCCUAAGAAGCCAGAAUCUACGGCUGAUGAAGAAAAAAUUGGAAAUGAAGACAGUGAUUUAGAAGAAGCCUGCAUUUUGCCUCAUAGUCCAAUAAAUGUGGACAAGAGACCCAUUGCAAUUAAAUCACCCAAGUUGCAGUGUUUUCUGUGAUUCUGAGGUUAGCUGAAUAGAAUCAUAGCAUGUAGCAAAGGAAUCCA